CCCCAUUGCCAUAUCACCCUGCAACUCACAACUAGAAGCCCACUGAAGCUCAGCAGGUGUGAGCCUGGUCAGUACCUGGGUGGGAGACCUCCUGGGAAACACUAAGGUUGCUGCUGGAA
ensembl:rRNA 5S_rRNA 5S ribosomal RNA